CAGCCGCCACGGUAACACGUAGGUGGCAAGCGUUGUCCGGAAUUAUUGGGCGUAAAGGGCUCGCAGGCGGUUUCUUAAGUCUGAUGUGAAAGCCCCCGGCUCAACCGGGGAGGGUCAUUGGAAACUGGGAAACUUGAGUGCAGAAGAGGAGAGUGGAAUUCCACGUGUAGCGGUGAAAUGCGUAGAGAUGUGGAGGAACACCAGUGGCGAAGGCGACUCUCUGGUCUGUAACUGACGCUGAGGAGCGAAAGCGUGGGGAGCGAACAGGAUUAGAUACCCCGGUAGUCCCUGUCUCUUAUAC
rnacentral:rRNA from 1 species